rnacentral:rRNA from 1 species
GUAGUCAUAUGCUUGUCUCAAAGAUUAAGCCAUGCAUGUCUAAGUAUAAGCAAUCUAUACAGUGAAACUGCGAAUGGCUCAUUAAAUCAGUUAUCGUUUAUUUGAUAGUACCUUACUACUUGGAUAACCGUGGUAAUUCUAGAGCUAAUACAUGCUAAAAAUCCCGACCUCUGGAAGGGAUGUAUUUAUUAGAUAAAAAACCAAUGCCCUUCGGGGCUCUUUGGUGAUUCAUGAUAACUUAACGGAUCGCAUGGCCUUGCGCCGGCGACGGUUCAUUCAAAUUUCUGCCCUAUCAACUUUCGAUGGUAAGGUAUUGGCUUACCAUGGUUUCAACGGGUAACGGGGAAUUAGGGUUCGAUUCCGGAGAGGGAGCCUGAGAAACGGCUACCACAUCCAAGGAAGGCAGCAGGCGCGCAAAUUACCCAAUCCCGACACGGGGAGGUAGUGACAAUAAAUACUGAUACAGGGCUCUUUUGGGUCUUGUAAUCGGAAUGAGUACAAUUUAAACCCCUUAACGAGGAACAAUUGGAGGGCAAGUCUGGUGCCAGCAGCCGCGGUAAUUCCAGCUCCAAUAGCGUAUAUUAAAGUUGUUGCAGUUAAAAAGCUCGUAGUUGAACCUUGGGCCUGGCUGGCCGGUCCGCCUCACCGCGUGUACUGGUCCGGCCGGGCCUUUCCUUCUGGAGAGCCCCAUGCCCUUCACUGGGUGUGCGGGGGACCAGGACUUUUACUUUGAAAAAUUAGAGUGUUCAAAGCAGGC